AAUUCAAAUUGCUGCUGAUGCCUCAUUUUCCUAACAAUUCUUACCAUAGGAAAAGUAUUGGGAGGUUGAGCCUGAGGUGCUGGAGGCUCUGUUAUGCUUGCCUGUGAAACAAUGUAAGGCAUGUCAAUGUCACCAACAACCAGAACUACUACUAUUAUUACGUCUCAAUCUUAAAAAUAAAUUCAGAUCGACUAUAUAAAUUCUCAUUGUCCAUAUAUCACUCCCAUUUUGGUCGGCAUUAAAAACCAAAAGGAAGAUAAUAAGAAGAAGAAAAAAGAGUAAUAGGAACUUACAUGGGUUGAAACAAGAAGAAGAACCAUUAAUAAUAGAAUAAGAUGGAGUAGUAUUACAAGACUAGGCUUCCUUUCCAUUUUGUUUCUCUGUCGAUACAAAAUAAUUGACCAAAGUGGGAAGUGGGAGGUGACUACAAAGAGAGAGUUAGCUGAAGAAUUUAUAGGCAGUUAUUAGUGGUUUUUCUAUAUGACGUUUCAGAAUUUUAUUGGUAUAUCAUACUG
rnacentral:lncRNA from 1 species